rnacentral:rRNA from 1 species
UAGCCGUAAACGAUACUCGUUAGGUGUCGGCCACGGUGCGACCGUUGUCGGUGCCGUAGGGAAGCCGUGAAGCGAGCCACCUGGGAAGUACGGCCGCAAGGCUGAAACUUAAAGGAAUUGGCGGGGGAGCACCACAACGGGUGGAGCUUGCGGUUUAAUUGGAUUCAACGCCGGAAAUCUUACCGGGACCGACAGCAACAUGAAGGCCAGGCUGAAGACUUUGCCGGAUUAGCUGAGAGGUGGUGCAUGGCGUAGUCGUGU